CACUGAUUCAGAUUUGUCCAAGAUGGUCACUAAACAAGGCUUUGAUGUGUCAGAUCAGUUGCCCCUUGUCACCUUCCACACGUGGGAACUAUUGCUGUAAAGCCGAACGAGAUGACACCAUACAGUAUAACUCCUAAAACUGGGCAAUUUCCAUUGAGUACUAGAUCUGUUCAACGUUGUUACAAGGAUUAGUUGUAAUUUGAUGGUCUUUUCGAAGACAAAUGUGUCUUCAAUAACCUGCAAUAUUACCGUGUGGAGAUCGAUAGGCCUGCUGGACCAGCCACGCAGCUGUGAGUGGAGUUGUUUUUUCACAACUGCUUUGAGUGAGAAUCUCUUGUAAAUCUCCUUAGACAUGCUGACAUCUCUGUCACGAUUACGAGGAAGAAAAAGACUCUCUGAGGUCUGGUAGAGUUGAUGAAGCCUGCCAUAGUCGAGAGACUGCAUGAUUUAUGACCCCAACAGGACGCCAUCGAGCCAACAGUACCUGCAGCCCCUUUCAUACAGUCAGUUGGACACUGAUUGUGAAAACCCACCAAAAUCAACACCGUAGGACAAAUAAGCACCAGCGGGAAUGAGAUCUAUAUGAUAAAUGGAGAAGAGAGUAGGAUCUGUCUGAUAAACGGAUAGGAAAGGUGGAUCUGGCCGACGUAUUAGACACACUCAUCACCAUCGUGUCUAUAGAGCUGCGAGCUGUCUUGUCAUAGCUGAUAAAUAUCCUCUAUUUGUCUGUCUAAAGCUACAUGCUGAGAGAUUUAAUCAUUUAGCUGUGUUAAAUCAAUGAUAGACUCGCAGCAAGCCGUUCUGUGCAAGCUGGGACUAAAUUUAGCAGAAAAAGCACCGUUGCUAACCUCUGACCUGAAAAAAGGCAUUUAAAUCUUUUAAAAUACUGUCAGUGGGACACAAAUCAGUUCAGUGGAAUGAAUGGAACAUUGGUGCCAUUUACUGCAUAUGGAGAAGGUUUAAGGGCAUUACUAUAGUAAAUAUUGGUACUUAGGGAGAGCAGUGGUAAAGUGGGACCCUUUUGUAGCUUUUCCUUGCACUUUUUUAUAUGCAAUAUUAUCAUAUUACAUUACACUUUAAUGGAAUUUUUCGGAUAUAUACAAAUUAUACAAAAAUACUAAAUACUAGGGGAAAACAAAAUAAACGUACAGAUAUAAUUGUUUAUUGAUAUUAUUAUACAAAUAUUAUAAAACAUUAAUUAAAUGAUUAUUAAAAUUAUUAUUAUAACUAUUAAUUACCAUUAAUGAUAUUAUUAUUAAUAUUAUAAUUAAUAUUUUCUCUUUAAAACACCCA
ensembl:lncRNA